rnacentral:rRNA from 1 species
UACAGAGGUGGCAAGCGUUGUUCGGAAUUACUGGGCGUAAAGGGUGCGUAGGCGGCUUUAUAAGUCAGUGGUGAAAUAUGGCAGCUCAACUGUCAGGGUGCCAUUGAUACUGCGGAGGCUUAGUACAGAUGAGGUAGGCGGAAUUGACGGUGUAGCGGUGAAAUGCUUAGAUAUCGUCAAGAACACCGAUAGCGAAGGCAGCUUACUGGGCUGUAACUGACGCUGAGGCACGAAAGUGUGGGGAUCAAACAGG